rnacentral:rRNA from 1 species
GGUUGAUCCUGCCAGUAGUCAUAUGCUUGUCUCAAAGAUUAAGCCAUGCAUGUCUCAGUGUAAACUUUUAAACAGUGAAACUGCGAAUGGCUCAUUAAAACAGUUAUAGUUUAUUUGAUAAUCACUUUUACAUGGAUAACCGUGGUAAAUCUAGGGCUAAUACAUGCGUAAAUCCCUCUGGGAUGUGUUUAUUAGAUAAAAAUCAACACUGUGUCACCACAGUUAUGUUGGAAUGAUAAUAACCGUUCGAAUCGCAUGCGAAUGCAGCGAUAGAUCAUUCAAGUUUCUGAC